CAGUAGCCACGGUAAUACGAAGGUGGCAAGCGUUGUCCGGAAUUAUUGGGCGUAAAGCGCGCGCAGGUGGUUUAAUAAGUCUGAUGCGAAAGCCCACGGCUCAACCGUGGAGGGUCAUUGGAAACUGUUAAACUUGAGUGCAGGAGAGAAAAGUGGAAUUCCUAGUGUAGCGGUGAAAUGCGUAGAGAUUAGGAGGAACACCAGUGGCGAAGGCGGCUUUUUGGCCUGUAACUGACACUGAGGCGCGAAAGCGUGGGGAGCAAACAGGAUUAGAUACCCCCGUAGUCCCUGUCUCUUAUAC
rnacentral:rRNA from 1 species